GCUCAGGACGAACGCUGGUGGCGUGCUUAACACAUGCAAGUCGAACGGUGAUGCCCAGCUUGCUGGGUGGAUCAGUGGCGAACGGGUGAGUAACACGUGAGCAACCUGCCCCCUACUUCGGGAUAAGCCUUGGAAACGGGGUCUAAUACCGGAUAUGAACACUUGCCGCAUGGUGGGUGUUGGAAAGUUUUUCGGUGGGGGAUGGGCUCGCGGCCUAUCAGCUUGUUGGUGGGGUAAUGGCCUACCAAGGGCGUCGACGGGUAGCCGGCCUGAGAGGGCGACCGGCCACACUGGGACUGAGACACGGCCCAGACUCCUACGGGAGGCAGCAGUGGGGAAUAUUGCACAAUGGGCGAAAGCCUGAUGCAGCGACGCCACGUGAGGGAUGACGGCCUUCGGGUUGUAAACCUCUUUCAGCAGGGAAGAAGCGCAAGUGACGGUACCUGCAGAAGAAGCGCCGGCUAACUACGUGCCAGCAGCCGCGGUAAUACGUAGGGCGCAAGCGUUGUCCGGAAUUAUUGGGCGUAAAGAGCUCGUAGGCGGUCUGUCGCGUCUGGUGUGAAAUCCCAUGGCUCAACUGUGGGCUUGCAUCGGGUACGGGCAGACUAGAGUGCUGUAGGGGAGACUGGAAUUCCUGGUGUAGCGGUGGAAUGCGCAGAUAUCAGGAGGAACACCGAUGGCGAAGGCAGGUCUCUGGGCAGUUACUGACGCUGAGGAGCGAAAGCAUGGGGAGCGAACAGGAUUAGAUACCCUGGUAGUCCAUGCCGUAAACGUUGGGCACUAGGUGUGGGGCCAGUUCCACUGGUUCUGUGCCGCAGCUAACGCAUUAAGUGCCCCGCCUGGGGAGUACGGCCGCAAGGCUAAAACUCAAAGGAAUUGACGGGGGCCCGCACAAGCGGCGGAGCAUGCGGAUUAAUUCGAUGCAACGCGAAGAACCUUACCAAGGCUUGACAUGUACGAGAAAGCCCCAGAGAUGGGGUUCUCUUUGGACACUCGUACACAGGUGGUGCAUGGUUGUCGUCAGCUCGUGUCGUGAGAUGUUGGGUUAAGUCCCGCAACGAGCGCAACCCUUAUCCUAUGUUGCCAGCGGGUUAUGCCGGGGACUCAUGGGAGACUGCCGGGGUCAACUCGGAGGAAGGUGGGGAUGACGUCAAAUCAUCAUGCCCCUUAUGUCUUGGGCUUCACGCAUGCUACAAUGGCCGGUACAGAGGGCUGCGAUACCGUGAGGUGGAGCGAAUCCCAAAAAGCCGGUCUCAGUUCGGAUCGGGGUCUGCAACUCGACCCCGUGAAGUCGGAGUCGCUAGUAAUCGCAGAUCAGCAACGCUGCGGUGAAUACGUUCCCGGGCCUUGUACACACCGCCCGUCAAGUCACGAAAGUUGGUAACACCCGAAGCUCACGGCCCAACCCCUUGUGGGAGGGAGUGGUCGAAGGUGGGA
rnacentral:rRNA from 1 species